AAAUCAGAAAUGUCACAGAUGUUUAGAAAUAAGACUAAUAAGCUGUUAUUUGGGCAUCCUCUAAUAAACACAAACAUUUUAAAGAGAAAAUGGUAAAAACCAAACUAUGAAGAGUGAAUUUUCCUCCUUAAAAAAUAUAAAAAAAUCAUAAUCUGGUUCUUCAGAAUAACUUUUUUUUUUUUGUCAAGUUGCCAACUGUCUGAAAGCAGGUCUGCCCCUGGUUAGAAACUCCAGAUUUGGUGCUAAUAUGGAAAUGCUUCACUCAUACACAGUGUAGACAUGGAAAAAAAUGGUUGUAUGUUCAUACUGCAUGAUACAAGUUAGGCAACCAAAUUUGUCAUGUUUUAAAAAUGCAGAAUCUAAGGAAUACAGCAUAAAGGCCAAUCUAAAUGGUCAAAGAGUAUACACAACAAAAGGUUAGAUAUAAAGUCAAAAGUUCAUAAAUACGGUUUCACAAUAGAUGCUUGUGUUACUGAACUGCCUUUUUGGUAACUGUGACUCGAAGGAAACAUUUACACUAGAGCUGAAAGUUUAACAAGAGUUCAUGAUUCAUGGAUGACAUGGAAUAAUAUGGAAAAAAUUUCAAAAAUGGAAAUUCUAGGACAUUCCAAGGAAAGGAACAGCUCAGUAAGAGCUUUUUUAACAAGUGAGCUUAUCUACAAGGGGGUCAUAUGAGGAAAUAAUUAGGUGUUCAUGUUGGCCUGGGCAGGGGAGCUAGCCCUUUCAAAGGUGGCUGUGGUUGUUAGCCUGUCUCUUCUGGCCUCUUUGACAUUAUCUACUGGUUUGAUCUCAUAGAUAUAACAACCUUGAAAGCACAAAUCCUUACUACCUUCAUUUCCCUCUCACUCUUCACCUCCUUCCUUUUACUGCUAGAAAUAAACAACACAGCCAUUUGAAAUGGCUUCCAAACACAACUGGGCUCUCACGACUCCUUUGAGAUUUUCUUUAGUUGUAUAUCAAAUUUUGUUUUCUCAUUCCCCCGAAAAACCUGGGCCACCUGAACUCAUCCCCAAUAUCAACGGACCUAUUUAAUAGCACCACCUUCCAGUAACUUCUUUCCCCACAUCUCAAAAAUUAAGUAUUUCUUUUUUCUUGAUUAUGGCCAACCCAUCCACUUGCUCUCACAUACUCUCCUACCCCUUUCUAAGAUGGCAAAUCAUCCAUUAUAGUUUCUCUCCUCUAUAAUCUCUACUUUUCCCUUUUUGCUGGCUCAGAGUAGUCAAGUUCAUGACAAGUGGACUUUGGUUUGAAUUCUAGCUCUGCUACUUUUUAACUACAUAAUAUUGAAUAAUAUUUAACCAGUCCAUGCCUCAGUUUAUUCAGUUGUAAAGGAGAUAAAAAUAGUUCCUAUUUCAUAAGACAAUAGUGAACAAAUAAAUAUAUGUAUAGUAGGUAUAUUAUAUCUUAGUACACAAAUACGGGAUUAGUCAUUAUCAGCUAUUUUAUUAUUAUCCUCAACCUAUAAAUUUGCUCAUAUCUUUUUUUAUAUUUAUUUUUUAGGUAUAGUUGGACAUAAUACCUUUAUUUAUUUAUUUAUUUUUAUGUGGUGCUGAGGAUCGAACCCAGGACCUUGCAUGUGCUAGAUGAGUGCUCUACCGCUAAGCCACAACCCCAGACCAAAUUUGCUCAUCUUUCUCAUUUAAAAAACAUGAGCCAGUGGUGGUGGUACACAUCUGUAAUCCCAGAUACCUGGAAGGCUGAGGCAGGAGGAUCACAUUUUAGGCCAAUGUGGGGAACUUAAUGAGCUUCCGUCUCAAAAUAAAAAUAAGAGCUAAGAUGUAGUUCUAUGGUAGUUUGCUUAGCAUGUGCAAGGCCCUGAGGUCAAUCCCAAGUACUGGAAAAAAGAAUAAUAAGCAAAAUAAAAUAUACCCUGGAAAUUAUGCUCCCAUCUAAUUACCCCUUUUCUGUCUCCUUUUCAGUCAGUUCUCACACAGGUAACUUGGUAACAGUUGGAUCCUUUCAAGGUUUGCUUUAAACAUUUGUUUAAGAGGUCCAGAACAAUCUUAUGUGUAGCAAUACUUUGGUCCUCCUGCUGAAUGCACACUCUUACUGAAUUCCCCCACAUGCUAGGAGGUUUCUAUUUGGGUUGGUAGGAACAUGACCUAUUGCUGGCCCUGCGUGAGUUCCACUUUCUGGAAGUUCUUCCCCCAGCCUGAGCAGUAUCCCUACAUGCAUGCCUUGAUCAAUAUUCAGGAAGUCCUCUAUAAAUAUCUGGAGCUAUUUAUGGAGCUCUUUCUUCUUAACUGUGUCAUUUAGUCAACUUGGCCUGUCUGAACUCUAAACUCUGUCUUCUGAAAUCAUCAACAAGACCACCUGCCUCUGUUUCCCUCUGUAUACUAUAACCCAGAAAAUCUGGGAAGUAAGAUAGGCAAUUAUGGGUUUCCCUUCCUUAUUUCCCUCCUCUCCAGGCAUCAUUGUGCUGUGUGGUCUGUGGUUAAAAUUCUGAAAAGGAAUAUUUAAUAUAAUUUGAUCCAUUUUUUUAGUUAAGGUAGGAGGUAAAUAUGGUUUCUAUUAUUCCAUAUUGGUUGCAAAUGGAGGUCCUGUACCUUUUAAUUAUUAAAUUCAAAUAAUAUUUCUCUGGCCUUAUCUUACUUAAACAUUUUGUGAUAUAUAUUUCUAUUGACUUACUACAUUUAAUUAUUUCUGGAAGCCCCCCUCCUCUGGUUUCUGACAUACAUUACCAGUCUUUCCUUAUUCUUAUUUUCUUUCCUGACCCUCCCUUUAAAGGUUGUGUUCUCAAGGAUUUGGCCCUCAUUCCGUUUCUCUUUUUAAAUAACUUACUUUCCCUAGGAUCCCUUACUUAGUCUCACAGUUUAAACUACCACCUACAUCCUGAUGAUUCCCAAACAGAAGGGUUUGUAGGAUAAAUGUCAUAGAACAAGCCCUAUAGGACUUUAUUUGGGCAGAGACCAUGUAAGACACGAAAUGCCUUCUAGGCCCAGCGCCGGUGAACAUUUGUUAGAGGGAAAUUUGUAUUACAG
rnacentral:lncRNA from 1 species